AUGUGUUGUCCAUGCCCUAAAUGUGGGAAUACGAAGUCUUACUCUGACCGGAAAAUCCUUCACACCCACCUGCUUUACAAGGGUUUCAUGCCACACUAUAAUGUUUGGACGAGGCACGGAGAAAUAGGGUUUAUGAUGGAAGACGGCGAAGAAGAAGAGGACGAUGACAACUAUGUGCCCCCUGAAUACGGUGAUGCUGCAACGGGGGAAGCUGCUGAAGAUCAAGAGGAACCAGACGAUGUGCCCAAUGAUGCUGCAACAAGGGAAGCUGCUGAAGAUCAAGAGGAACCAGUGCCCGAUGAUGAUGAUCUCCGCCGGGUCAUUGUCGAUGCAAGGACGCAAUGCGAAAGUCAAAAGGAGAAGCUGAAGUUCGAUCGCAUGUUAGAGGAUCACAAAAAAGGGUUGUACCCCAAUUGCGAAGAUGGCAACACAAAGCUCGGUACCGUACUAGAAUUGCUGCAGUGGAAGGCAGAGAAUGCUGUGCCUGACAAAGGUUUGAGAAGCUAUUGA
rnacentral:rRNA from 1 species